rnacentral:rRNA from 1 species
CAAUAGCAUAUAUUAAAGUUGUUGCAGUUAAAAAGCUCGUAGUUGGAUUUCUGGUAGUACGCACCUGACCCGCGAUCUCUGAUUGUGUUGCGUCGGGACGCGUCUAUCAUCCUCCGAGGGAACGUAGUCUGCUCUUCACUGUGGUGGGCUCGCGAACUCGGUCAUUUACUUUGAAAAAUUAGAGUGUUUAAAGCAGGCUAUUGCUGUGAAUAUAUUAGCAUGGAAUAAUAAUUUAGGGCUUGGGUUCUAUUUUGUUGGUUUUUUAGUACAUAAGCAAUGAUUGAUAGGGAUAGUUGGGGGUGCUAGUAUUGAGCGGCCAGAGGUGAAAUUCUUGGAUUCGCUCAAGACUAACUUAUGCGAAAGCAUUCACCAAGGAUGUCUUCUUUAAUCAAGAACGAAAGUUGGGGGAUCGAAGACGAUUAGAUACCGU